rnacentral:rRNA from 1 species
UACGUAGGGUGCGAGCGUUGUCCGGAAUUACUGGGCGUAAAGAGCUCGUAGGUGGUUUGUCGCGUUGUUCGUGAAAUCUCACGGCUUAACUGUGAGCGUGCGGGCGAUACGGGCAGACUAGAGUACUGCAGGGGAGACUGGAAUUCCUGGUGUAGCGGUGGCAUGCGCAGAUAUCAGGAGGAACACCGGUGGCGAAGGCGGGUCUCUGGGCAGUAACUGACGCUGAGGAGCGAAAGCGUGGGGAGCGAACAGG